CCUACGGGCGGCUGCAGUGAGGAAUAUUGGUCAAUGGGCGUAAGCCUGAACCAGCCAUCCCGCGUGCAGGAAGAAGGCGCUAUGCGUCGUAAACUGCUUUUCCAGGGGAAGAAAACCCGCUACGUGUAGUGGCUUGCCGGUACCCUGGGAAUAAGCAUCGGCUAACUCCGUGCCAGCAGCCGCGGUAAUACGGAGGAUGCGAGCGUUAUCCGGAUUAAUUGGUGUGAAGGCGUAUUUAGGCGGAUGAGGUGAAAACCUUCAGCUUAACUGGAGACUUGCCAUUGAUACUGUUAGUCGUGAGUACGGUCAAGGUAGGCGGAAUGUGUAAUGUAGCGGUGAAAUGCUUAGAUAUUACACAGAACACCGAUUGCGAAGGCAGCUUACUGGGCCAUUACUGACGCUGAUGCACGAAAGCGUGGGGAGCGAACAGGAUUAGAUACCCUUGUAGUC
rnacentral:rRNA from 1 species